rnacentral:rRNA from 1 species
UACUUGGAUAACUGUGGUAAUUCUAGAGCUAAUACACGCACACAAGCUCCAGCCGCUCGUCGGCCGGGGCGCAUUUAUUAGUACAAAACCAAUCGGGACCGCUCGCGGGCCCGUUGUCUGGUGAAUCUGAAUAACUGAGCCGAUCGCACGGUCUCUGCACCGGCGACGUAUCAUUCAAGUGUCUGCCCUAUCAACUUUCGAUGGUAGUUUAUAUGACUACCAUGGUGAUAACGGGUAACGGAGAAUAAGGGUUCGUCUCCGGAGAAGCAGCCUGAGAAACGGCUACUACAUCCAAGGAAGGCAGCAGGC